ensembl:rRNA 5S_rRNA 5S ribosomal RNA
GUCUACCUCCAUACCACCCUGAAUGCGCCUUAUCUCCUCUGAUCUCAAAAGCUAAGCAGGGUCAGGCCUGGUUAGUACUAAUCUAGAGGGCCUUGACU